rnacentral:rRNA from 1 species
UACGUAGGGGGCUAGCGUUGUUCGGAAUUACUGGGCGUAAAGCGCACGUAGGCGGAUAUUUAAGUCGGGGGUGAAAUCCCGGGGCUCAACCCCGGAACUGCCUUCGAUACUGGGUAUCUUGAGUUCGGAAGAGGUGAGUGGAAUUGCGAGUGUAGAGGUGAAAUUCGUAGAUAUUCGCAGGAACACCAGUGGCGAAGGCGGCUCACUGGUCCGAUACUGACGCUGAGGUGCGAAAGCGUGGGGAGCAAACAG